rnacentral:tRNA from 2 species
GGGCCCUUAGCUCAGUCUGGUUAGAGCGCUCGGCUCAUAACCGAGUGGUCAUUGGUUCGAAUCCGAUAGGGCCCA